rfam:Schistosoma rodhaini strain Burundi genome assembly, scaffold: SROB_scaffold0002569
AUCCAGCUGACGAGUCCCAAAUGGGGUGAAACUAGCAUCCUGGAU